rnacentral:rRNA from 1 species
AACCUACCCAACUGACAGCAGAUAUNGUAUAGAAAUAUAUUUCCCGCAAGGCAACUGGCAGGUGCUGCAUGGCUGUGUCAGCUCGUGCCGUGAGGUGUUGGGUUAAGUCCCGCAACGAGCGCAACCCUUAUCGUUAGUUGCCAGCAUUUUAGGUGGGGACUCUAGCGAGACUGCCUGGGUUAACCAGGAGGAAGGUGAGGAUGACGUCAAGUCAGCAUGGCCCUUAUGUCUGGGGCUACACACGUGCUACAAUGGUCAGUACAGAAGGCAGCGAAGCCGAAAGGUGGAGCCAAAUCCUAUAAAGCUGAUCUCAGUUCGGAUUGUAGUCUGCAACUCGACUACAUGAAGUUGGAAUUGCUAGUAAUGGCGUGUCAGCAAUAACGCCGUGAAUGCGUUCUCGGGUCUUGUACACACCGCCCGUCACAUCAUGGAAGUUGGUUUUACCCGAAGUCACUGACUUAACCCGCAAGGGGAAGAGGGCCGAAGNAAGGCGAGAUGG